AGUAACACGUGGGUAACCUGCCCAUCAGAAGGGGAGAACACUUGGAAACAGGUGCUAAUACCGUAUAACAAUCGAAACCGCAUGGUUUUGAUUUGAAAGGCGCUUUCGGGUGUCGCUGAUGGAUGGACCCGCGGUGCAUUAGCUAGUUGGUGAGGUAACGGCUCACCAAGGCCACGAUGCAUAGCCGACCUGAGAGGGUGAUCGGCCACAUUGGGACUGAGACACGGCCCAAACUCCUACGGGAGGCAGCAGUAGGGAAUCUUCGGCAAUGGACGAAAGUCUGACCGAGCAACGCCGCGUGAGUGAAGAAGGUUUUCGGAUCGUAAAACUCUGUUGUUAGAGAAGAACAAGGAUGAGAGUAACUGUUCAUCCCUUGACGGUAUCUAACCAGAAAGCCACGGCUAACUACGUGCCAGCAGCCGCGGUAAUACGUAGGUGGCAAGCGUUGUCCGGAUUUAUUGGGCGUAAAGCGAGCGCAGGCGGUUUCUUAAGUCUGAUGUGAAAGCCCCCGGCUCAACCGGGGAGGGUCAUUGGAAACUGGGAGACUUGAGUGCAGAAGAGGAGAGUGGAAUUCCAUGUGUAGCGGUGAAAUGCGUAGAUAUAUGGAGGAACACCAGUGGCGAAAGCGGCUCUCUGGUCUGUAACUGACGCUGAGGCUCGAAAGCGUGGGGAGCAAACAGGAUUAGAUACCCUGGUAGUCCACGCCGUAACGAUGAGUGCUAGGUGUUGAGGGUUUCCGCCCUUCAGUGCUGCAGCUAACGCAUUAAGCACU
rnacentral:rRNA from 1 species